UGGCAACUGUCCAGCGACAGCCAUAGUCUUUCAGCUUAAACGCGACGUGUCGUUCAAAAAUGGUCGUUGGAUAAAAACUCAACUUCACAUUCAGAGCAGCAAUCUCUUGGCACUAUCGGCGGCCGGACCGAUGGACCGCCACGCCGGGAUAUAGUGGGCCGAUAGACGGCCAUCAACUGCGCAUCGCCAGACGACCGAAUGAGUUAUGGAGCGCCAGACACUGCGCGAGCUGAUGCCGGGGGAAGGGUGAAAUGGUGCCGGAAAGACGUGUCUUAGUGACGGUGGGAUGUGCCUUGGCGACUAUGCUACGCAUGACUUGAUGAAGUCUCGACAGUUUUGGACGUUGUGUCAUUGUGGAAUACAGAACUUGGAGAGUCAAAUCGCGAGAUAUUUAAAGACGUCGAUGUCAG